CUUAACACAUGCAAGUCGAACGGAAAGGCCCUGCUUUUGUGGGGUGCUCGAGUGGCGAACGGGUGAGUAACACGUGAGUAACCUGCCCUUGACUUUGGGAUAACUUCAGGAAACUGGGGCUAAUACCGGAUAGGAGCUCCUGCUGCAUGGUGGGGGUUGGAAAGUUUCGGCGGUUGGGGAUGGACUCGCGGCUUAUCAGCUUGUUGGUGGGGUAGUGGCUUACCAAGGCUUUGACGGGUAGCCGGCCUGAGAGGGUGACCGGCCACAUUGGGACUGAGAUACGGCCCAGACUCCUACGGGAGGCAGCAGUGGGGAAUAUUGCACAAUGGGCGGAAGCCUGAUGCAGCAACGCCGCGUGCGGGAUGACGGCCUUCGGGUUGUAAACCGCUUUCGCCUGUGACGAAGCGUGAGUGACGGUAAUGGGUAAAGAAGCACCGGCUAACUACGUGCCAGCAGCCGCGGUGAUACGUAGGGUGCGAGCGUUGUCCGGAUUUAUUGGGCGUAAAGGGCUCGUAGGUGGUUGAUCGCGUCGGAAGUGUAAUCUUGGGGCUUAACCCUGAGCGUGCUUUCGAUACGGGUUGACUUGAGGAAGGUAGGGGAGAAUGGAAUUCCUGGUGGAGCGGUGGAAUGCGCAGAUAUCAGGAGGAACACCAGUGGCGAAGGCGGUUCUCUGGGCCUUUCCUGACGCUGAGGAGCGAAAGCGUGGGGAGCGAACAGGCUUAGAUACCCUGGUAGUCCACGCUGUAAACGGUGGGUACUAGGUGUGGGGUCCAUUCCACGGGUUCCGUGCCGUAGCUAACGCUUUAAGUACCCCGCCUGGGGAGUACGGCCGCAAGGCUAAAACUCAAAGGAAUUGACGGGGCCCCGCACAAGCGGCGGAGCAUGCGGAUUAAUUCGAUGCAACGCGUAGAACCUUACCUGGGUUUGACAUGGAUCGGGAGUGCUCAGAGAUGGGUGUGCCUCUUUUGGGGUCGGUUCACAGGUGGUGCAUGGCUGUCGUCAGCUCGUGUCGUGAGAUGUUGGGUUAAGUCCCGCAACGAGCGCAACCCUUGUUCACUGUUGCCAGCACGUUAUGGUGGGGACUCAGUGGAGACCGCCGGGGUCAACUCGGAGGAAGGUGGGGAUGACGUCAAGUCAUCAUGCCCCUUAUGUCCAGGGCUUCACGCAUGCUACAAUGGCUGGUACAGAGAGUGGCGAGCCUGUGAGGGUGAGCGAAUCUCGGAAAGCCGGUCUCAGUUCGGAUUGGGGUCUGCAACUCGACCUCGUGAAGUCGGAGUCGCUAGUAAUCGCAGAUCAGCAACGCUGCGGUGAAUACGUUCCCGGGGCUUGUACACACCGCCCGUCAAGUCAUGAAAGUUGGUAACACCCGAAGCCGGUGGCCUAACCGUUGUGGGGGAGCCGUCGAAGGUGGGACUGGUGAUUAGGACUAAGUCA
rnacentral:rRNA from 1 species